UCUAUUGUGAUGGAGAGAAAGAGAAGAGAUUAGAAAUGAACUGUAGGAAAGGCUCCACCUCAUAAUUCCCCAACGGGGCUGUGUAGUUAGUCUCUUUAUCACAUUCACCUCCAUGGUUCUUUUACCCACUGUGGGCGUGUUUCAGUGUUUCUGCUUUGAAAUGAAAGAGAAAGUGCAAGAGAGAAGAGUCCAAAAAUGGGCUAAUUCAAUACCAUUUAUGGGCUUCAUAAAAAUGGGCCUUGCGGGGCCUUUGCUUUCUUUUUUUUUCAACUUACCAAUUCAAAACCGGCGUCGUCUCAAUGAAAGCAAUCCCCUCCAACGGUCAAAAUAUUUCAUUUCCAUCAAGCAAGCCAAACUCUUGCUUAUAUAAACGAAGAAAGGAAACCCCUUUCUUCAUUUUUCUCUCAUGCCUCUCUUUCUGGGUUUUCAAAAUCCUCUCUCUCUUUUAAAGAAAAACCCUGAGAAAGAUCGUUCUUUAAGUUUCACUUGUAAGAACAUGUUCACAGAUAUACAAUUUGUAACAUGAUCUAUAGGUUGAUGAAGAGGGAAGACUUUAUUAAUACAUGCCUUCAGGUACUUUUUCAUUCUCUGUAUAUCUUCUUUUAGGCAUGUGAGAGUACCUGAUUUACUUGUCUCACAACGCUUGUCCAUGUGGGGUUGUUAACAGUAAUGUGCUUGCUGGUAUUUUAAAUUACUUCAAUUUGAUAUGAUGGAUAAAAUGGCUACUGGCUUGUUAUGGUAUUGUGUCAAUACUACCCUGAAAAGAUAUCUAUCUAUCUAUAAUUCUAACUUUUACAUGGUCAAAUAUAUCUUUUAUGUGGAUAAUUUCUGAUUCUGUGGUUUUUUGAACCUCAAAAGUAAAUCACUUAAAAUUUCAACCAUUGUCAGAUGUUCUUGAUGGUAAAAUUGUCAGAAAUCAGUUGGGAAAUUAUGUGAGUGUGGUUAGAAUGAACAUAUUGAAGCGAAAAGGUCCCUCACCUUGAUUUUCUCAUUUGCAAUUUAAACGAGACUAAUAAUGUGAUUCAAAUUUAAUGCUCCUAGUACUCCGACUUUCUUCGACUGGAAACUUGCAUGAAAAUUAAGAACACAUUGAAGAGUAUAUUAGAGAAAACUAAAUCAUAGAUGAGGAGAUGUUACUGAAUAAGAAAUUUCUUUGUAGAAUGCAAUACAGUUAGGAUAAUUUUUUGUUUAUCUUCGAGGCAACCUUUAAAAUCCUGUUUCAGCUAAAUACUGAAUACUAGAAAUCCUUUUUGAUUGGGAUGUCGAUCAGGAACAUAUUUUGAAUGCUAAAAUAUGUAUCAUUUCUUUUUCCUUCUUUAUUUCAGUUGAUCAUCAUUGUUAUAUGUUCUUUCCAUUAUCUUUACCUUGAAAAGUUUGGAGCAGGUGGUUCCCAUAUUUCGUAUGCUGAAUUGUAGUUCAAUUUCGUUGUAGUUGUUCUUUUUAAUUUUUAAUACCUGCUGCUGAGACACUUGCAUGGGAAAAGAACUUGAAAUGCCAUUAAUGAUUUAUGGAGGUUAGAAGGAUGAACCUCAAAAUCCUAUUAUAAGGAACAGAAAUCUUUUGUGUUUUGCUUGAACUUUGACAUUGAACCAAAAUACAGAACUUGUAUUUGUGUGCAUGUACAACUCUUGCCUCGUACACAUUUCCCUUCACAUUUUUUUUUUUAAAAACAAAUGACUUGAUAAUAUACCCCUCUACGGCAACUAGUCUUUUAUUACUUUGUUUGUAAGGCUUUCACUCUUAUAGGCAAUUUUUCUGGAUGCGUUGGGAAAAAGUGGAGAAAGAUUGAUGUUUUGAAUAGCUUAAUACAGAUAAAACGAAGUAGGCAUCUGAGGAGCCAAAAGUGGAGGAAGAUCGAUGCUUUUAACAAAAUUUAAUGCAGAUGAAUCAUGUUUAAUAUUAUAUUG